rnacentral:rRNA from 1 species
AUGGCCUACUUCGAUGAGAAAGCGAAGGAUGAUCCAGAUUUCUUCUACAGGAUAAGAUUGGACAAUGAGGACCGUGUCAGGAACAUGUAUUGGGUGGAUGGUGCUGCAAGAAGAGCCCACAAACAUUUCCAAGAUUGCAUUUCAUUCGACGCAACAUAUCUCACUAAUAUGUACAAGAUGCCAUGCGCUCCAUUCAUAGGAAUAAAUAACCACAAUCAGUCAUUGCAGUUUAGAUGCGGGCUCGUUUGGAACGAAGACAUUGAUGGGUACACUUGGAUGUUCUAGACCUUCUUUGAGUGCAUGGAUGGACUUGCUCCGAUGAACAUAAUAACAGACCAGAGUUUUAGGAUGCGUGCAGGCAUAGAUGAGGUCUUUCCGUUGGCAGUGCACAUGCACUUCAGGUGGCACAUUAUAAAGAAGGCUGAGGAAACACUAGGACCGUUCUUUGCUGACCGUCCAGAGCUGCACAAGGCAUUCGAGCUGUGCGUGGACCACAACUUGACGGUGGAGGAGUUUGAAAGGAGCUGGAUGGCCAUGAUUGAAACAUAUCAAGUCCAAGACAACGAGACGCUUGCUAACCUGUGGGAGAAGCGAAUGUACUGGGUGCCGGCCUACUUCAUGCAGUGCUUCUUCCUGUUUCUAUAG